CGCGACGCCAUCUUCGACGAAGACACGCGAUGGACUUGGGAGGCGUCGGGGGAGGCCCCGGCAAGCAGCUCCUUCACCAUGGAGUACCCGAUGUACUCUAGGACCCCGGGAAGUGACACCCCGGGAAGCCCGGGAGGUGUGGAUCCAGGAACCACAACCCCAAGAACACCGUCCCCGGGUACGGUGUCCCCGGACACCCCGAUGUCAAGCAAGGUGGGUCCCGGGAGGCAGUUCGCAACCCCGCCAACGGCGAGGUCAGAGCUGUUCGACACCAAAGACAGCGUUGGCGCACCCCACAGGUUUCGGCGCAUGGGGGAUCUCCUUGGCGAGGCUGCGGCAACACCGCAACACCCCGAGGAUGAGGACGUUGAUGACGAUGAGGUCCUGCAUCUGAUGGCCAGCGAGGAGCCGACCACAUUCACGGAGGCCGAGCAAGAGGAUUGCUGGCGCCACGCGAUGCUGGACGAGAUGGCGUCGAUCAAUGACAACACCACUUGGACACUCACCACACUGCCUGCUGGGCACCAAGCCAUCGGGAUCAAGUGGGUGUUCAAGCUGACGAAGGACGAGCACGGUGCCAUUGUCAAGCACAAGGCGUGCCUCGGCGCAAAGGGCUAUGUGCAGCGUGAGGGA
rnacentral:rRNA from 1 species